AUAACAAUACAGGACUCUUUUGAGUCCCUGUAAUUGGAAUGAGUACAUUUUAAAUCCUUUAAUGAGGAUCUAUUGGAGGGCAAGUCUGGUGCAGAGCGACUGACCCGUGCGUGCUGCAGCUGAAA